GUAGGUGGCAUGCGUUGUCCGGAAUUAUUGGGCGUAAAGCGCGCGCAGGCGGUUCUUUAAGUCUGAUGUGAAAGCCCACGGCUCAACCGUGGAGGGUCAUUGGAAACUGGAGAACUUGAGUACAGAAGAGGAAAGCGGAAUUCCACGUGUAGCGGUGAAAUGCGUAGAGAUGUGGAGGAACACCAGUGGCGAAGGCGGCUUUCUGGUCUGUAACUGACGCUGAGGCGCGAAAGCGUGGGGAGCAAACAGGAUUAGAUACCCUGGUAGUCCACGCCGUAAACGAUGAGUGCUAAGUGUUAGGGGGUUUCCGCCCCCUUAGUGCUGCGGCUAACGCAUUAAGCACUCCGCCUGGGGAGUACGGCCGCAAGGCUG
rnacentral:rRNA from 1 species